rnacentral:rRNA from 1 species
CAGCAGUCGCCGCGGUAAUACGUAGGUGGCAAGCGUUGUCCGGAAUUAUUGGGCGUAAAGGGCUCGCAGGCGGUUUCUUAAGUCUGAUGUGAAAGCCCCCGGCUCAACCGGGGAGGGUCAUUGGAAACUGGGAAACUUGAGUGCAGAAGAGGAGAGUGGAAUUCCACGUGUAGCGGUGAAAUGCGUAGAGAUGUGGAGGAACACCAGUGGCGAAGGCGACUCUCUGGUCUGUAACUGACGCUGAGGAGCGAAAGCGUGGGGAGCGAACAGGAUUAGAUACCCCCGUAGUCCCUGUCUCUUAUAU